CGAUAUCAAUAAGCGGAGGAAAAGAAACUAACAAGGAUUCCCCUAGUAACGGCGAGUGAAGCGGGAUGAGCUCAAAUUUGAAAUCUGGCUGGUUUGACCAGUCCGAGUUGUAGUUUAAAGAGGCGUUUUCUGUGUUUCUGAUCAGUCCAAGUCCUUUGGGAUAAGGCAUCACGGAGGGUGAGAAUCCCGUUCGGUUGAUCAGAUUCGCUUUACGAUACGCUUUCAAAGAGUCAAGUUGUUUGGGAUUGCAGCUCAAAAUGGGAGGUAAAUUUCUCCUAAGGCUAAAUAUUGGCGAGAGACCGAUAGCGAACAAGUACCGUGAGGGAAAGAUGAAAAGAACUUUGAAAAGAGAGUUAAACAGUACGUGAAAUUGUUGAAAGGGAAACGAUUGAAGUCAGUCGUACUAACGGGAAAUCAACCUAUUUGGGUUGUGAAUUUUGGAUUUUGAAGAGUGUAAACCUUUGGGGUUCAAACAUUUGCGCUCUUUAGGCGUAAUUUCUCGUUCGGUAGGUUAACAUCGAUUUUGAAGAUUAUAAAAUGACCGGAGGAAUGUAGCUUCGAUCUCGUAUUGAAGUGUUAUAGCCUUUGGUAGAUGUAAUGAACAAGAUCGAGGAUUGCAACGAAUACCCUUUUGGGCUAUCCGUCUGAUCUCUGAUACGUUGCCUCGGUAACGAAAGCUUGCUUACGGUAUUGAGGUAUUACGGUCAAAAGGUUAGAACGUGAUUACAUUCGUUAAGGAUGUUGACGUA
rnacentral:rRNA from 1 species